CUUUCGGAGUGAUUCGCGCGCUUUGAGAUCCCAUCUCGGAGCAAUCCCGAACACGAUGACAGCAUCCGGCAUUCGCGGAUGACGUCAUACGACGGGGCAGCGGAGGUGGUGGCGGCAGCGAUAAUCGCAUACGAUGACGUCGGCAAUGAUCGCGAAUCGGCAACAGCAGCAAGAGGAGGAAGGAGCCCGACAGCCCGAGAGCCUCAGCCGAGCCGACAGGAGCCGACGGCGCCCCGUUUCGUCGUGGGGCCAGUUCCUUCCAGUUCGCCGUGUCGUCGACUUCUUUCGAGUUCUCCGGUCGAUUCGUUUCUUGUGAUUCCGAGUCGAGCAGAACGCUACCGGUCGUCGAGCCGCGCCGGCCAGACACCGUCGACCAUAUGACAGUGACCUACUUAUUGAUUCCGGUAUGCCUUACGGUUCGCGAUACUAGUAAUCCCGAGGAUCGACGUCGACAAAUCGAACCAAUCGAAUCGGGCGGCUCAGUGGAAUAAUAAUAAUAAUAAUAAAAUAAUAACAAAUAACUCUCGAACGGAAUUAUAGAAGGUGGUUGCGUUUAACGAUAAAUGUGAUUGAUUUUCGAUACUGGUACCAUACUCUCUCAGUACCGUUGAUAAUACAUUUAACGGUGAACUCUUAGGCGAUUGUUUAAUCAAGUGCAAUCUUAAAUCAGUUAUUAAAUAAAUGGAACAAACGAAGUAAAUCUAAUUAAAUUAGCAAAUGGAAUAACAGAAAAGCAGUGGAGUAGAACAAACUCAAUGUUAGAAUAUCCUGCCGCAACUAAUGAAGGAUCAGGACAAAGUUCAUUUGUGUAUCUCAUUCUUUCUCUCUGUGAAGAAUGACUCGCGAACUGGAGUUCAUCGACGGAAAUACAUCGCGCGAGUCAGAACGCCUUCCGACGCCUUCUCGCCUAAAAAAAAUGAAAGACACGCGAUGUGCUGCUCAUUCAAUCACAAUGAAUCGUAAGACUGCUCGAUCGCGAAUGCUCGGGUGUGCAUGGUGACAUCACCUGAUGGGUUACACCUGUGCAGUAUAGCGACCACUGUGCAUUCCACAGAAUCCUGAACCACGAUAACCCGCAUAUUUUCAAUUGAAAGUCCACCAAGAAUGUACGCAAUUCCUUAAUAGGAAAUGAGAGGUUGAUCAAUAGAAUAUAUCUACAAAAAAGUGCGAUCUCUUGAUUAUAUUUUUGUCAUGUAUGAAUCAAAAUGUUAUUACUAUCUUUCUCUUUCUUUUCUUCUCUCUAAGACUUGAAGAAUUUAAGUUUAUUUCACGAUAAACGCUGAGAAUAAUACAUAAUUUGAGAAAAAAUUUCUAAUUUGAUAAAAAUAAAUUUCAUUUUGAAUCUGCAUCUAAUCUUUUAAACUGUAACUUUUUUCAAAUUUAUUUUUAGUUUUUAUUUUCUUUCAAAAAAGAGAAAAAUGAGAGAGAAAGAGAGAGAAUUAAUGUUUUAUAAUUUAUCUAUCCAUCUCACAUUACUUUCUGCAGAUAGCUAGGCUACAAUUAGAAUUAGAAACUCAAUACCGGUUCA